CUGAGUCUUAGGAGGACUUUUUCUUCCAUGUUCCUUCUGCUCUUCCUCUGCUGCUUUUAUUGGCUCAGGGCACACAGGAGCAUGAAUAGCUGCUCAGAAAGCUGAGGGAUGAAGUCUGGGUCCCUGAUGAAACUCCAGCAGCCUCAACAAGAGACUGAAGGACCAUCCAGCCCUAUUGCUUGCAGCAUCUGCUGGUGGACUGUAAGAGUUGGCUCACUGAGCAGGCUUGUGGUUGCCUCACAGCAACACUGGAGCAUGAUGGACUAUCGGUGUUAUCAAUGAGAUCAUCCAGUUUGAAGUGAACCUCUGUGGAGUGACUUCACCAACACUUGUGCAUCAGUGCUGCGAGCAAAGGUGAGCUGACUCCCAGCUGCUGGGCCAUUUGUUGCUGGAACUGUCAAACUGGGGAUGUCCUGUACUGUCCUCUGAAGCAACUAACUUUGAAGACAAAGUAAUCAGGAAGGACAUGGCAAGGGGUGGCUGCUGAUUCCAGCCUGUCCCAGCUGCUUUGUGCCAAGGUCAUUAUUGCUUUGUGGCUUCCCCCCGCUCCCCCACCCCGUCUGCGUAAUUUCAUUUAUAAAAUGCUGAAAUGCCAGCCAGGA